GUGGGGAAUAUUGGACAAUGGGCGAAAGCCUGAUCCAGCCAUGCCGCGUGUGUGAAGAAGGUCUUCGGAUUGUAAAGCACUUUAAGUUGGGAGGAAGGGCAGUAAGUUAAUACCUUGCUGUUUUGACGUUACCGACAGAAUAAGCACCGGCUAACUUCGUGCCAGCAGCCGCGGUAAUACGAAGGGUGCAAGCGUUAAUCGGAAUUACUGGGCGUAAAGCGCGCGUAGGUGGUUUUGUAAGUUGGAGGUGAAAUCCCCGGGCUCAACCUGGGAACUGCCUCCAAAACUGCAUGACUAGAGUACGGUAGAGGGUAGUGGAAUUUCCUGUGUAGCGGUGAAAUGCGUAGAUAUAGGAAGGAACACCAGUGGCGAAGGCGACUACCUGGACUGAUACUGACACUGAGGUGCGAAAGCGUGGGGAGCAAACAGGAUUAGAUACCUGUGUAGUCC
rnacentral:rRNA from 1 species